UACGGGGGGAGCAAGCGUUGUUCGGAUUUACUGGGCGUAAAGGGCGCGUAGGCGGCCAGCACAAGUCAGUUGUGAAAUCUCCGAGCUUAACUCGGAAAGGUCAACUGAUACUGUGCGGCUAGAGUGCGGAAGGGGCAACUGGAAUUCUUGGUGUAGCGGUGAAAUGCGUAGAUAUCGUAAGGAAGACCAGUGGCGAAGGCGGGUCGUCUGGACAGUUCCUGACGCUGAGGCACGAAGGUCAGGGGAGACAA
rnacentral:rRNA from 1 species